GAUGAACGCUAGCGGCAGGCUUAAUACAUGCAAGUUGAGGGGCAGCAUGAUAUACGCGAGUAUAUUGAUGGCGACCGGCGGACGGGUGAGUAAUAGGUAGGAGACCUACCUCAUACAGGGGGAUAGCAUAGAGAAAUCUGUGGUAAUACCCCAUGAGGUUAUAUGAAUAGAGGCAUAUAAUCAAAGCAUAAGUGAUUAUGCGGUAUGAGAGGGGCCUACUGACCAUUAGCUAGUUGGUGAGGUAAGGGCUCACCAAGGCGAAGAUGGUUAGGGGUUUUGAGAGAGAGACCCCCCACAUUGGAACUGAGAGACGGUCCAGACUCCUACGGGAGGCAGCAGUAGGGAAUAUUGGGCAAUGGGCGAAAGCCUGACCCAGCCAUGCCGCGUGAAGGAAGACGGCCCUACGGGUUGUAAACUUCCUUUGUAAGGGAAUAAAUAGUCUUACGCGCUAAGACGUUGCAGGUACCUUACGAAUAAGGAUCGGCUAACUCCGUGCC
rnacentral:rRNA from 1 species